CGCCUAACACAUGCAAGUCGAACGCAGUAGCAAUACUGAGUGGCAAACGGGUGAGUAUAAUGUGGGAAUCUGCCUUUUGGUUCAGAAUAACACGGGGAAACUUGUGCUAAUACUGGAUAAGCCCUUACGGGGAAAGUUUUAACGCCGAAAGAUGAGCCUGCACUUGAUUAGCUAGUUGGUAAGGUAAAGGCUUACCAAGGCAAUGAUCAAUAGCUGUUCUUAGAGGAAGACCAGCCACAUUGGGACUGAGACACGGCCCAGACUCCUACGGGAGGCAGCAGUGGGGAAUCUUGCACAAUGGGGGAAACCCUGAUGCAGCGAUGCCGCGUGAGUGAAGAAGGCCCUUGGGUUGUAAAACUCUUUCGUCGGGGAAGAAAAUGACUGUACCCGAAUAAGAAGGUCCGGCUAACUUCGUGCCAGCAGCCGCGGUAAUACGAAGGGACCUAGCGUAGUUCGGAAUUACUGGGCUUAAAGAGCUCGUAGGUGGUUAAAAAAGUUGAUGGUGAAAUCCCAAGGCUCAACCUUGGAACUGCCAUCAAAACUUUUUAGCUAGAGUGUGAUAGAGGUAAGUGGAAUUUCUAGUGUAGAGGUGAAAUUCGUAGAUAUUAGAAAGAACACCAAAUGCGAAGGCAACUUACUGGGUCACUACUGACACUGAGGAGCGAAAGCAUGGGUAGCGAAGAGGAUUAGAUACCCUCGUAGUCCAUGCCGUAAACGAUGUGUGCUAGACGUUGGAAAUAUAUUUUUCAGUGUCGCAGCGAAAGCAUUAAGCACACCGCCUGGGGAGUACGACCGC
rnacentral:rRNA from 1 species